rnacentral:rRNA from 1 species
AUUGAACGCUGGCGGCAGGCCUAACACAUGCAAGUCGAGCGGAUGAAGGGAGCUUGCUCCUGGAUUCAGCGGCGGACGGGUGAGUAAUGCCUAGGAAUCUGCCUGGUAGUGGGGGAUAACGUCCGGAAACGGGCGCUAAUACCGCAUACGUCCUGAGGGAGAAAGUGGGGGAUCUUCGGACCUCACGCUAUCAGAUGAGCCUAGGUCGGAUUAGCUAGUUGGUGGGGUAAAGGCCUACCAAGGCGACGAUCCGUAACUGGUCUGAGAGGAUGAUCAGUCACACUGGAACUGAGACACGGUCCAGACUCCUACGGGAGGCAGCAGUGGGGAAUAUUGGACAAAGGGCGAAAGCCUGAUCCAGCCAUGCCGCGUGUGUGAAGAAGGUCUCCGGAUUGUAAAGCACUUUAAGUUGGGAGGAAGGGCAGUAAGUUAAUACCUUGCUGUUUUGACGUUACCAACAGAAUAAGCACCGGCUAACUUCGUG